AGGAAUUCUGAGUUUGUGGUCGAGGGUGGGCCCAGGCAUCCAUUAUGUUUUUUUUUAAACUCUCCAGGUGAUCUAGCUAACAGGUAGCUAGAGUUGAACACCACUGCUCUGGAUAAAGACUGAGAGACUAACAAUCACACCAAAAAAUCAAAUCUGGAAAAAAAGAAUGAAUGACUAUAAUUUUGGCAAUUGCAGACCUAUUCAGUGUCAUUUGAUUGAAUGAUUGAUCAGGUGGUAGAAGAGGCUUGAGCAGGCCGACUUGCCCUUCAGGAAUACUGCCUGGCCUUCAGAUUCAACCUUAUUGCUUGACACUACUUGGCCUGCUCAGUGGCGCUAUCUCGGCUCACCACAACAUCUGCCUCCUGGGUUCAAGCGAUUCUCCUGCCUCAGCCUCCUGAGUAUCUGGGAUUACAGGAACCGGGCAAAUCUAACUCAGUCUUCCUUUGAUCCACACUGGAUGAGUGAACUGCAGGAAUGGGGAUCUCACUAUGUUGCUAGGACUGGUCUUGAACUCCUGGACUUAAGCAAUCCUCCUAUCUCGGCCUCCCAAAGUGCUGGGAUUACAGAGAUGGGGUUUUGCUAUGCUGCCCAUGGCUGGUCUUGAACCCGUGAGCUCAAGUGAUCCAUCAUGUGCACCACUGCCCCAGGUGACUUUUUACAUAAAGUAUAAGAAAACAGAUUCCUCCUCUCAAUGCCUACAGGAAUCCCCUCUGAUCUUCUAACUGGUAAAGUACUAAGUUAAAAAAACCUCUUAGCCCUCUGUCUCUCCAAGUUGGGUAGUAUUAAAUAUAUGAAUCCAUUUUUAGCCUGGGCAGCAUGGUGAGACUCUGUCUCCAUACACACACACACACACACACACACACGCACACACACACACGAAGCUGGAUGUGGUGGCACAUGCCUAUAGUCCUAGCUACUCAGGAGGCUGAGGCUGGAGGAUUGCUUGAGUCCAGGAGUUUAAGGUUACAGUGAGCUAUGAUUGUGCCACUGCACUCCAGCCUGGGAAACGCAGCAAGACCCUGUUUGUUAAACACACA
rnacentral:lncRNA from 1 species